rnacentral:rRNA from 1 species
UGGAGGAAAGCAGGGGAUCGCAAGACCUUGCGCUUUUGGAGCGGCCGAUGUCUGAUUAGCUAGUUGGUGGGGUAAAGGCUUACCAAGGCAACGAUCAGUAGUUGGUCUGAGAGGACGACCAGCCACACUGGGACUGAGACACGGCCCAGACUCCUACGGGAGGCAGCAGUGGGGAAUUUUGGACAAUGGGCGAAAGCCUGAUCCAGCCAUGCCGCGUGAGUGAAGAAGGCCUUCGGGUUGUAAAGCUCUUUCAGUCGAGAAGAAAAGAUUGCGACUAAUAAUCGCAAUUCAUGACGGUAUCGACAGAAGAAGCACCGGCUAACUACGUGCCAGCAGCCGCGGUAAUACGUAGGGUGCAAGCGUUAAUCGGAAUUACUGGGCGUAAAGGGUGCGCAGGCGGCCUUGUAAGUCAGAUGUGA